GAAGAAUUUUGUAAAGUUACUGCUAAUAACUUUGGGUCAGUUAGGUUUGACGUUCUUCU
rnacentral:tRNA from 1 species